GUUCAUUAUCCGUAUCGUAAAAAUAUAACUGCAUAUAACAAGGCAUAUCAUUCUCUAAUACAAGUUGAUUUACAUAAUGAUAUACUUGUCCUUGAAUCCUAAAUAUGUAAAUACAAAGCACCUCUGUAUGCUUUAAAAAGUUCUUUGUCAUACUUUACACCAAAAGAAGUGAAUGCAAAGUGGUUAUUAUAUCCUCUCAAAAUUUUCUUAAAUUCCAUACACCUGGACUCUUUAGAAGUAAACAAAGUAUAGAGUUCAGUUGGUGAAUCGGACAUACAAAGUUUAACUUUUCCAUCUGAGCAACAAAAACCUUUACUUUUUCUAUGAAAUUUUCGUGNUUCCAAAGCCGAUUG
rnacentral:lncRNA from 1 species